UACGAAGGGGGCUAGCGUUGUUCGGAAUCACUGGGCGUAAAGCGCGUGUAGGCGGAUAUGCAAGCAAGAGGUGAAAGCCCAGGGCUUAACCUUGGAACUGCCUUUUGAACUGUAUAUCUGGAGUUUUGGAGGGGAGUGUGGAAUUCCUAAUGUAGAGGUGAAAUUCGUAGAGAUUAGGAGGAACACCGGUGGUGAAGGCGGCACUCUGGACAAAUACUGACGAUGAGACGCGAAAGAGUGGGGAGCAAACAGG
rnacentral:rRNA from 1 species